rnacentral:rRNA from 1 species
GGCAGCACGAUGUAGCAAUACAUUGGUGGCGACCGGCGCACGGGUGAGUAACGCGUAUGCAACCUACCUAUCAGAGGGGAAUAACCCGGCGAAAGUCGGACUAAUACCGCAUAAAACAGGGGUUCCACAUGGAAAUAUUUGUUAAAGAAUUAUCGCUGAUAGAUGGGCAUGCGUUCCAUUAGAUAGUUGGUGAGGUAACGGCUCACCAAGUCCACGAUGGAUAGGGGUUCUGAGAGGAAGGUCCCCCACACUGGUACUGAGACACGGACCAGACUCCUACGGGAGGCAGCAGUGAGGAAUAUUGGUCAAUGGGCGAGAGCCUGAACCAGCCAAGUCGCGUGAAGGAUGAAGGAUCUAUGGUUUGUAAACUUCUUUUAUAUGGGAAUAAAGUGAGGAACGUGUUCCUUUUUGUAUGUACCAUAUGAAUAAGCAUCGGCUAACUCCGUGCCAGCAGCCGCGGUAAUACGGAGGAUGCGAGCGUUAUCCGGAUUUAUUGGGUUUAAAGGGUGCGUAGGUGGUUAAUUAAGUCAGCGGUGAAAGUUUGUGGCUCAACCAUAAAAUUGCCGUUGAAACUGGUUGACUUGAGUAUAUUUGAGGUAGGCGGAAUGCGUGGUGUAGCGGUGAAAUGCAUAGAUAUCACGCAGAACUCCGAUUGCGAAGGCAGCUUACUAAACUAUAACUGACACUGAAGCACGAAAGCGUGGGGAUCAAACAGGAUUAGAUACCCUGGUAGUCCACGCAGUAAACGAUGAUUACUAGCUGUUUGCGAUACACAGUAAGCGGCACAGCGAAAGCGU